rnacentral:tRNA from 1 species
GGAGCUGUAGCUCAGUGGCAAAGCACUUGCCUGGCAUGCAUGAGGCACUGAAUUCAGCUGCCAGCAGAAUUCA